AGCGAUGCGCAGACAUCUUUGUUGUGGGCGAAACGAGGUGACCGCAGAGUCUGUCACCCAGGUUGGAGUGCGGUGGUGUGAUCUUGGCUCCCUGCAACCUCCACCUCCCAGGUUCAAGCGAUUCUCCUGCCUCAGCCUCCCAAGUAGCUGCGAUUACAGGCACCCACCACCAUGAAGAAUGGCAUUUUUAAAAGAUGGCUUUCUUAAAAAAGGAUACUCAGUUGCUCUUCUACUCAUACCAAGUCCUGCAGACACAUUCUGGGACUGCACCUUAUGAGUGCUGCUCACUCUGUUUCCUGCAGAAGACAUACAGAGCCGUUCGCAUAGAGGGCCAUGAUUUUGAUUCAGCAAUUCUUCAAACCACUGAUGCUGGUUGACCAUUUGACUUUGUUUUUGAAGUAUUUUUUACAUACAGUGUACAGAACAUUUCCGCUGGAUAUUUGGAUACUGAACAGGAGUAACAAGAGGAACAGCUCCUACCUCCCCCCUGCCCCUUCCCUCACAAGCCUGUGAGUCAGGGCAGGGGCAGCCACUGAAAGUAGCAGAGGCCUUCAUAAAGGAGAAGUUGUCAGGUAGACCUUUGGAUUAACUCCCCAAAAGCAGCCCCCUAGGAGACAGGCGACAGCACCGCAGUCAGGGGAUGCAGGCGUGGAGGCACUUCUCCAUGUUGCCAUCAUGUGAAGAAGGACAUGUUUGCUUCUGCUUCUGCCACGAGUGUUGAAGGCAAUGGUGAUGAAAGUAAAUAUUUAAAAACACUACCAUAGCUGUCCCAAAUUUCAGAAAAACAAGGUACCACUGGAACCAUUUAAUUUUGUUGGAACACAGAAUGACCAUCUUGUGAUCAGUUUUCUGCAUCUUUAAAAUACCUGGAAGGUCAUCUUUAAAUAGUACAAUCUGAUAAAAGUUUAAUACUUAGUGUAGACUUAUAUGAAUACUUCUACAUUCAUACAUUUUUGUAUACUUAUACAUUUUCAUACUCAAUUAAUGCUUAAUUCAAAAAAUAUCUGAGUACCUGCAGUGUUCCCCAUGCUACAUACUGGGCUUAAACAGCCAAAAAGACACAGUCUUUGACCUCAAAAUACUUUGAUUCUUGUAAGAAAAACUGACAAAGACAAAGAGAAGGCAAUGUGAAAACUUCUACAGUUGGGAUAACCUUGGAGGUUACAGGAUGUGGACUCACUGAAAGCUUUCUGCUGGACUUGAACUUGAAGCUGAAGUCUGAAGGACAGAUGGGUGUUGCUUAGCGAAGGGAAAGUAGGAAGCAAAGACCCCUGGACAGAGUGUAGCAGGCACAGAGGGAGCAUGACACCUUCGGGAGAGAGCCGCAAGCACCUGGGCCCAGAUCCCAGCUUUAGCUUCAUUAGCCCUGUGAACUCUGUAUGUCAGCCUUGACAUAGAAAAAAAGAGGAUACUAAACCUCCAUCUUAAAAGAGACUUGGAAGAAGCUGGGAUUAUAGGCACACCACCACACCUGGCCCCAGAAAAGGGAAUCCUUGACCUGCAAGAAUCGAGGAAUAUUGUUUCUGACAUGCUCAGUGGACCUACUGCUGGUGUUCUUAACCAUUUCCUUCCUAAGUGGAACUUCUUUUGAGGUUAAUGUUUAUAUACAAUUACUUUAACAUUGGAUUUGGGAAAUGGAACAACAUACUGCGGAUCUUUCUGCUACCGAUGAAAGAAGAAGCCAGCAUGCUCGUUCCUGUGCAUGCUGGUGAAACAGACGUGGCCUGCCCUGCCUUUCUCCAAUCUCUCUCCCGCAGCCCAGCCCAGCCCAGCCUGGUUUAAUAGCAGGGGGAGUUGGCACCGUUCACAGCUGGUUAACACCCUACUGAGCAGGUUUUGAAUGCAGAAAGACUGAGAAAACUUCACUAUUCAUGUAAGAAAAAUAGGCUCCACGGGAUCCCUUGAUCAGGAUGGUGGUAGAGGAAAUGAACUUCCAUCAGCACUGUAAUGAUCUCAGAGGGGGGACAAGUUCACAGUGUUGGGGAGAGGAAAGUGUCCUCUUAGCUGCCUCCCAUGACUUCAGGGGCCCAUUUGAUGAUAAUAGGACACUCUCUGGACAAAGCCUGCAGAUGGAUUUGAUCAAGCAAGAGAGCUGAGGAUGAAUGCGAAAAAAAAAAAAGUGGUCCUGAUGGCUCCUUGACCAUGAAAUAAAGGUCAUCAAUGAGGGAAGACAGGAGACUCCAGGAGCACAGAGACAGUGACAAAGCAAUGGAUAAAGGAAUUGUGGGUACCAGUGAGAUGGAAGGAUUAUGGGAUUUGGAGUCCUAGGGACAAAGAUGGAAAGACUGGAGGGUGCUUGGAGAGGAACUGUGAUUGGUGAUGUCAAGAUCAAGAGUACUGUCUUACAGGGGAACCAGUGACAGAGGUCAAGAAGAAGAUGAGACCACUGCAAUGGUAAUUUCAUGACAUGUACAGGUGUUGAUAAUUCCUUUGUGCUGGACAAGGUAAAACAAAGAGGGGUGAUGACUUUGAAAUGUUCUUAAUAAAAAAUUCCAGCAAUAA